CUACUACUCCCUCCAUUCCAAAUUACUCGUCGCAGAAAUGGAUGUAUCUAGAACUAAAAUACAUCUAGAUACAUCCAUACUUGUGACAAGUAAUUCGGGAUGGAGGGAGUACUUG
rnacentral:pre_miRNA from 1 species